GGAAUGGUGGUGAAUAAAGCCUCUGGCUCCAAGUCCCCUGUUUAUGUCCUGCAGUCCAGUUGUUGAGGAACUAAGAGCCCUCAGACUUGGACUGCAACUACACAGCUCUCCUGGGUCUCCAGCUUGCUGAUUGCAGAUCUUGGGACUUCUCAGCUUCUGUAAUUAUCUGGAAGAAUGAAGCUGGAAUGCACUGAGAUGGGAAGGCUGGGGAGAUGACAGCUCCACCUUGGACAUGUCGGAGAUGCCUAGUUAGACCCCAAGUUUAAAUGUAAAAGGCUGGUUGUCUUUAUGCACUUAAAGUCAACAUUCAAAUCUUUUUAUUUACGUAUCUCAUAAUUCUUGUAAAAAAAAAGAAUAAAUACUUUUACUUGUUCA